rnacentral:rRNA from 1 species
CAGCCGCCGCGGUAAAACGAAGGGGGCUAGCGUUGUUCGGAUUUACUGGGCGUAAAGCGCACGUAGGCGGAUCGAUCAGUCAGGGGUGAAAUCCCAGAGCUCAACUCUGGAACUGUCUUUGAUACUGUCGAUCUGGAGUAUGGAAGAGGUGAGUGGAAUUCCGAGUGUAGAGGUGAAAUUCGUAGAUAUUCGGAGGAACACCAGUGGCGAAGGCGGCUCACUGGUCCAUUACUGACGCUGGGGUGCGAAAGCGUGGGGAGCAAACAGGAUUAGAUACCCCCGUAGUCCCUGUCUCUUAUAC